GACUCUGUGACAAACGUUCAGCCCCUGCCAGCCCUCACCAGGGGCUCUGUGCUCUCAGCCUUUUAGGAAACGCUGCUUCCAUCACCUCAGCUGUGAACCUGCAGCCUGCCCAGCUGAGGGGAGCAGAACCGCCAGUGUCUGGGCCAGUCCCAGGAGGGUUUGGGGCAGGCAGCACAGCCCGUGGCUCUGGUGGCUGUCACCUCCCAGACCACCCAGCCCUGCUCCGGGACCGCGGCACACGGCAGCGAGGGAUCCACGGAGUCUCCAGCCCUCAGGGGAGCAGAAUUCGUCAGGUCUUUUGGGGACUGAGGGACAUCCAGAGUGUCUGAAAGCUCCCCAGCCACCAUCAGAACACCCAGAGCUCUGCAGCCCAAUCCUCCCGACUGACUGGGCUCUGGAUUGAAAAACCCAACAGUCCCCAGCCCAGCUUCCUUCAGGAAGGUGCAGGGGGAGCGCAGCGCUGGAACCAAGAGACCUCGGCUCGGACGGGACGGCGCUCACCAGACCCCUCCAGGCGUCUGCACCUGGGAUUUCAUCACACGGAGGAUGCAGGUCCGGCUGGAAGAGCUGCACUCUGCCCACACGAAGGAGGUGGCCGGUGCCAGAGGGGCUGGGGCUCAAUGGGGUGUGGAAACCUCUGGAGAGCCCAGCAGGAUCAGCUGUGACCCAGCCAGGCACUCAGCUGGGCUUGUCCCUCUUCUGCUGGACUUGCUCUGGCCACAUGCAAUCAGCCCAUCACUCCAAACCUUGCCUGCAUCUGUGUGUUCCUGCCAGUGAAUAGAGGGGAAAUGAGUCUGUGAAACUUGCCCCGUCCCAAAUCCCUCGGUGCUGCUAAACCUUCCUCCCCUGCCUGCACAGACACUCCCCGGGCAGUGGUCACCCCAGCACCUCCUGCCUGGCAGAUCCCUGCAGACACUCUGCCCCUGGCAUUGCCUCUGCUCCCUCCUCCUUGUUUUCUGCCUGAAUGGAUUUGGAUUAGACAAGACCUUCCCCAAAUGCACACAAUGUCCCUGCCAGUGCACAAAUACACCAGAGAAUACCAGCUUUCCACAACAGUAUUUCUAUGAUUUGACCAGACUGGCACCAGGUUAAUUAAAAAACCCCACAAUAUUUAAAUGCAGUUUCAUCAGGAGAAGUGCAAAAUGCCUCCAUAAGAAUUUCUGCCAGGACUUUUCAAACCCCGCAAAGCACAAUUAGACACAGUCAAAUAUUGCCCUGGUUAAAGACUAUUAGUUUUCCUUACAUUUGUCAUGAAUUAAUUUUUUC